CUCAAAGGAAUUGAGGGGACCCGCACAAGCAGCGGAGCGUGUGGUUUAAUUCGUUGCUACACGAAGAACCUUACCUGGGUUUGACAUAUAGGUUGUAGGGAACUGAAAAGGGACCGACCCUUCGGGGAGCCUAUACAGGUGUUGCAUGGCUGUCGUCAGCUCGUGUCGUGAGAUGUUCGGUUAAGUCCGCUAACGAGCGCAACCCUCGUCGUAUGUUAUAUGUGUCAUACGAGACUGCCGGUAAAAGCCGGAGGAAGGUGAGGAUGAUGUCAAGUCAGCAUGACCUUUAUAUCCAGGGCUACACACACGCUACAAUGGUCUGUACAAUGGGUAGCCAAGCCGCGAGGCGGAGCCAAUCCUGAAAGCAGGCCUCAGUUCAGAUUGCAGUCUGCAACUCGACUGCAUGAAGCCGGAGUUGCUAGUAACCGCAGGUCAGCCAUACUGCGUUGAAUACGUUCCCGGGGCUU
rnacentral:rRNA from 1 species